GGCGCCGUUCGCUGCUGCGGCUCCCGCUGGGCUGCGGGCGCCAGGGGUCAGCGGGGGACCUCCAGCCCAGCCCAGGAGGCAGCCCGGCUGCCCGUGUGCAUAAAUAGCGUCAUUUGUUCACCGGCUGAGAGCCGCCGUCCGGUUCUAAUCGGCGACAAAUGGGGGUGGGAGAAAAGGGGGAAAGGGAGGAUGAGGGUUACAAUAACGAGAUUACACGCUCGCUUAGGUUCCUUGUGUGCGCGUCUUUGUGGUGCUGCCGGGCCUUUGUGCGGCGGGUGGAGGAAUGAGUGAGGAAGUGGGGCCGGGGGCAAAGAGCGCGGCUGGGGCGGGCCCGGGGAAAACAAAGAGGCAGCGGUGCGGCCGCGAGCACAGCCGUGAGCACAGCCCGAGCGGGUGGUGCCGCCUUGGGGUCUUGGAGCUCGGAGUCCACCUCCAGGUCCUGUCAGUCGACACCGGUUUGGGGUCUGUGAGGUUUCCUUCCCAGCUCCCAGCACUUGAUGCUUUGCGGAUCGUGUCUGUGCGAGAGGCGGAGGUCAGAGUGCAGUCGUUGCCUGUAUCAGUGUGCAGGGCUGACUCACUGGGCUCCGUGCUGCCGUGCUCUGCAGCCACAAAAAUUGCUGCUGAUGCUCUGGCUCCUUCAGAGUACGACGAGGUCUGUCUUAGGGGCUGGAUGUGUUCACUUGGCUGAGCCUCUUAAUUCUGGGCCUUUGCAGCAGCAUUACCUGCAGAGACACUUUUCCUCUUUGCCAGUUUCUCCUGCCAACGUGGAGAUGACUCAGAGGCAAGUUCUGAGGACUUCUCUCAGAAAUUACUUGUUUCUGCUGGGCUGCUUCUACCUAUUACUUUGCUUGCACCUAAAAGAAAGAGAUGUAUCUGAAGCAGUUACUGAUUCUGGGGAUGCACUGAGUUACAGCUGGUACCAGAAGGUAACUGGAGUUUCUGAGGAGGACAAUCCCAGUCCUGCUCACCUCCCCAGAUCCCCACAUACCUUGUGAUGCCAGCGCAGCUCGCUCUCACUACGAUCAGCUUCUACCAACUACCCCAAAGCUGAAGGGAUGGGGAUGGCCUCAGACUUCCCCAUGGCAAAUCACCAACGCAUGUGACAGCCUCUCUCUCUCUGCAUACGUGGAGAGGCUUCCAGCCAGCGCUGUCGUGGAGUAAAGCUGAAAAUAUGCCUCUCUAAGGCUCAAAAGCCUGAAGGCAACAACGAACAAAUAAACCAAACCUGUUGUUUUGAACCCUAACUGAAAAGAAAGGUGGAGGAAGGUAAACAUGCUGUCAAGAUAUAUUGAAGACUUGUGAAAAUAAAGCAAUUUAAAACUGACAUCUAAGAGAAGAGUUCUUUCAUGGGUUUCCCUUUUUAAUCAUAUUCCCUCAGCAAUUACAAUUCAAAUGCUACAGCAGCGUGCAAACUUGUGCAUGAAAUGCAAUAGCAGAAUGAAGCGGCCAACAGUCAAUUAGAGUGAUACUCUGCAGUUCAUUCCCAUUGCAGGGAGAGAAUAAAACCUAAAAUUCGACCCAAAUGGGGAUUUGUGACAACGCUGCAUGCCAUGCCCCACCCCUGUGCACUCUUCUUCACACUCACCACUUUUUCCAGCCGCAGCUGAGGUUGUGCACGUGCAACAAAGUGAGCAGAGAGUUCUCGUGCAUGUCUCUGGAUCAGCACACUGCAUGUGGCUCUCUGGAGGGAGGAGGCAGGUAACGGGCUGGGAUGUAAGCUCUUCUUUCCCAUCCUCCAGUCCUCAUGAAGAAGUAGCAGCUCUUGUUCAUGCGAUCCCAAGGGAGGGAGGGGCUUGAAUUUUGGGUGGUCCUGUGUGGGGCCAGACAUGGGGCUAGAUAAUCCUUG
ensembl:lncRNA